AGCUAGUUUCGCAUAUAACCAAAAAGUUGAAAUAAGUAAGGGUAGAUCGUUAUUAAGGAUAAUAUUUUUAUUGAAGGAAGCCUGAAGAUGAUUUAACAACUUGAGCGGAGCGGCGAGCAUCUAAGAAAAGAUCGUUACAUUCUUCGAUAUCUUGUACACCAAUCUCUUUGUUACCAUGCAAACUGGCAAUAAUGCUAACGGGUGUCAACAGUUGUAUAACAUAACGGAGACUAGUACGAGAACCUUCUUGAGCCAGCUUGUCCAAACACUCAUCAGUAAGGAUGAUGUUUUCAACUUUUGCACGUAUCUGCAAAAUGGAACGAAUUUCUGACUCUGAAUAGGGGAGUGUGCGAACUAUUAGUAAUCUGUCAAGCAAAUCCGUAGGAAUACCAUGGGGAGCUUGAAUAUCCUCAGUACCCCGAAUGGUACAAAUGCCUCGAUUAGAGGCAAAGAUAACAAUAGGAGAAAUAGUGCUUUCUAGGGCUUGGUUGAGAUAAGUAAAGCACUCAAUGUCUAACAUAUGAACCUCGUCGAUGAACAAGACACCAGGAAUAAGUUCAGCGAUUCCUUGUUCGAUAUAUUUGUUGACAACCUUGUUAAUUUCACCACGAAGCUUAUCGGUGAUUUCAGUUUUCUUGGGCUUCAUUAACUGACCCAUCAUAGACAUUAUAUCUUGUCCUCCUUGAGGGCGGGCAUUGGCAAUAUCCAAAUCAUGAAGAGUCACGUCCUGAACAAUUUCUUUCCGCUUGUGUACCUCACCUUUAGGCAUAGGAACAUAUUCUUCCGCUUCUAAAUCGAACUCCGUAGCAUACGCAUCGCUACGACCCACUCUCUUUACGGCACCUGUAUUGGCUUCUAUGUAAAUAACGUCCCCGGUUGACACUUGUUCUCUUUGUAAAGAUUCGUAAAUGCUAGGAUCUAAUUUGAGCUGUUUGGUACCCUUAUGCGUUUUGAGGCCCAAAAGGACGUGUGAAAUGGUUUUUCCAUAACCGCCCAAAGGAUUUUCGGCUUCUUCGGGAACCAUUUCUGUAACCUCACCCUCAUACACUUCUUUUGUUUCCUUUACCCGAAGACCAAUGGCCCUUCGAAAGUUUUCCAUUAAAGCCUCAGUUUUCUUUAUUUCACUAGAGUAGACUUCACUUCCCACCAUAGGACAAAAAGGAACUUUAGGACCAAGUUCUUGGGCAAUCGCCAAGGCCAGUGCUGUUUUACCAGUACCAGCACCUCCAGCGAACAAUACACCUUUACCACCAAAUUUUUUAGACUUGAUUAAAUCAGUGAUGAUGCCACAAGCCUAAGAAAAUAUAUUAGAAUACAUUAUAUUAAAGAAUUAUCAGGAAUGCUUACCUCACGAGCCUUUUCUUGUCCAAUGAAACCUCCACCAACAGAUUCACAAGUUCCAUCUUCUUUUAGGCCUAAACCUUUGAUAUGUGAAUGUGUAGUAAUCCUAUUAUCACGGCCAUUUCCCUUAACCUCGCUGAUUUGGACCAUUUUAUAAGUAGUUGGUUGAGGAUAGCUUGCUUUCAAAAUGUGACAUUAGGGUUGGGUGUAGCAAAAUAGUACCAAGUUAAAUAAGAAGAAAGUAGAGCUGAGGUAAUGAAAAAGACAGGAAAUGAAAUAAUAAAGCAAAG